rnacentral:rRNA from 1 species
UACGUAGGGGGGCAAGCGUUGUCCGGAUUUAUUGGGCGUAAAGAGCGUGUAGGCGGCCAGACAGGUCAGCUGUGAAAACUCGAGGCUCAACCUCGAGACGUCGGUUGAAACCGUCUGGCUAGAGUCCGGAAGAGGAGAGUGGAAUUCCCGGUGUAGCGGUGAAAUGCGCAGAUAUCGGGAAGAACACCCGUGGCGAAGGCGGCUCUCUGGGACGGUACUGACGCUGAGACGCGAAAGCGUGGGGAGCGAACAGGG